GACGAACGCUGGCGGCGUGCUUAACACAUGCAAGUCGAACGGAAAGGCCCUGCUUUUGUGGGGUGCUCGAGUGGCGAACGGGUGAGUAACACGUGAGUAACCUGCCCUUGACUUUGGGAUAACUUCAGGAAACUGGGGCUAAUACCGGAUAGGAGCUCCUGCUGCAUGGUGGGGGUUGGAAAGUUUCGGCGGUUGGGGAUGGACUCGCGGCUUAUCAGCUUGUUGGUGGGGUAGUGGCUUACCAAGGCUUUGACGGGUAGCCGGCCUGAGAGGGUGACCGGCCACAUUGGGACUGAGAGACGGCCCAGACUCGUACGGGAGGCAGCAGGGGGGAAUAUUGCACAAUGGGCGGAAGCCUGAUGCAGCAACGCCGCGUGCGGGAUGACGGCCUUCGGGUUGUAAACCGCUUUCGCCUGUGACGAAGCGUGAGUGACGGUAAUGGGUAAAGAAGCACCGGCUAACUACGUG
rnacentral:rRNA from 1 species